AUGGCGGCCUCCUCCUCGCUCCUCGCCGUCGGCCCGGCGCUCCUCGUCCUCUUCUUCACGGCGCUCGCGCCCGCACCACUGGCAGCAGCAGCGACCUCCUCCAAGCUUCCCAGCCAGCCUCCUCCUUUCCCUGCUGGACUCGCUCCUCUGCAGCAGCACCGGGCGGCAAGCUCGAGCGGCAGGUACACCACCGCCGCCACGGCCCCCGCGAAGCCGUACACGGCGCACUACUUCCCGCAGGAGCUGGACCACUUCACCUUCACGCCCAACUCCUCCCGCGUCUUCUCCCAGAAGUACCUCCUUAACGACACCUUCUGGCGGCGGAAACCCACCGCCGGGCCGCUGUUCGUGUACACCGGCAACGAGGGCGACAUCGAAUGGUUCGCCGCCAACACCGGCUUCAUGUUCGACAGCGCGCCCGACUUCGGCGCCCUCCUCGUCUUCAUCGAGCAUCGGUACUACGGGGAGUCGAAGCCGUUCGGAAAUGACUCGUACACGUCGGCCGACAUGCUGGGUUACCUGACGUCCACGCAGGCGCUCGCCGACUUCGCCAUCCUCAUCACCAGCCUCAAGCAGAACCUUUCUGCCGUCGAUGCCCCCGUCGUUGUCUUCGGCGGCUCCUACGGUGGCAUGCUGGCUUCAUGGUUCAGGCUCAAGUAUCCCCAUGUCGCCAUAGGAGCACUGGCAUCCUCUGCUCCGAUCCUGCAGUUCGACGACAUCACCCCAUGGUCUAGCUUCAACGACAUUGUCUCGCAGGACUUCAAGUCUGAGAGCCUGAAUUGCUUCAGUGUCAUCAAGGCAGUUUGGGAUGUGCUAGAUGAGAGGGGAUCAAACGAGACAGGCCUCUUGGAGCUCAGCAAAACCUUCAGGACCUGCAAGACAGUGCAUUCCGUUUCUCGUCUGGGAUUGUGGCUAAGGGCAGCAUUCACCACCACUGCCAUGGUGGACUAUCCAACCCCAGCCAAUUUCAUGAUGAAUCUGCCUGCUUAUCCUGUGAAGGAGAUGUGCAAGAUCAUUGAUACUUUUCCCGCCGGAGCAGACGUCAUCGACAAAGCUUUCACUGCGGCAAGCCUAUACUACAAUUACACAGGCGACCAGAAAUGCUUCGAGGUGGAGGGUGGCGAUGACCCUCAUGGCCUCCAUGGCUGGGGCUGGCAGGCCUGCACAGAGAUGGUCAUGCCGAUGACGGUGUCGAACGAGAGCAUGUUCCCACCAUCCAGCUUCAGUGACGAGAAGAGGUCGGAGGGCUGCCACCUGUUCUACGGAGUUCGUCCGAGGAUGCACUGGAUCACUACUGAAUAUGGUGGCCAUAAAAUUGACAAGGUUUUAAAGAGGUUUGGCAGCAACAUCAUCUUCUCCAAUGGGAUGCGAGACCCAUGGAGUCGAGGCGGGGUGCUCAAGAACAUAUCAUCCAGCAUCAUUGCUCUUGUCACAGAGAAAGGGGCCCAUCAUUUGGACCUGAGAUUUGCAACCAAGGAUGAUCCAGACUGGGUUGUAGAACAAAGGAGACAGGAAGUUGUGAUCAUACAUGGAUGGAUAGAUCAGUAUAACAAGGACAUUGCACAGAUGUAG
rnacentral:rRNA from 1 species